AGGACGAACGCUGGCGGCGUGCCUAACACAUGCAAGUGGAGCGACGAACCAGGCUUCGGCCUGGGGCAGAGCCGCGAACGGGUGAGUAACACGUGGGUAACCUGCCCUGAUGAUUGGGACAACCCGAGGAAACUCGGGCUAAUACCAAAUGUGCCCCUUGGCCUCAAGGCCUCUGGGGAAAGGAAGCUUCGGCCUCCGCAUCGGGAUGGGCCCGCGGCCCAUUAGCUUGUUGGUGAGGUAAUGGCUCACCAAGGCUACGAUGGGUAGCUGGUCUGAGAGGACGAUCAGCCACACUGGGACUGAGACACGGCCCAGACUCCUACGGGAGGCAGCAGUGGGGAAUCUUGGACAAUGGGCGAAAGCCUGAUCCGGCAAUAUGGCGUGAGUGAAGAAGGGCAACGCAGCUUGUAAAGCUCUUUCAUCGAGUGUGCGUAUUGUGACAAGACUCGAAAUAGAACGCCCGGACUAACUCCGUGCCAGCACGCCG
rnacentral:rRNA from 1 species